ensembl:lncRNA LINC00867 long intergenic non-protein coding RNA 867
GAACUUGCUUGGAUGUUCUGUUGAGGAAAGAGAGGUGGAAGGAGCAAAGGGCUCAGCACCCAAAACUCUGGGAAUCACUCAACUUUAGAGAAAGAAAGCAAAAGCACUUUUAAAAUGAGUUAAGUGGAAGACGAACAGACAAAUGAGGUAACUUCUAUAAAGAUGGAGGUUGCUUCUGGCUCAUCAGCCAUCGUUGAUGGUAACCAGUCCUACAAUUCUCAUUAGGCAGUUCUGUUACCCCACUAUUUCCUUGGGGUCUGUUGUGCUAAGGACAGGAUUGGUUGGGUAAAGGGGUGUGGCACAAAUAACCCUCAGGAAUACAGGCCACAGAGCUAAUGAAGGGCCCCAAGGAAAGAAAGACCUGCCCAUCAGCGAUGAAUUCUCUCCCCCAGUGCCACAGACCUGAGGGCACGUGACCCAGGAAUGUGCAUCCAAAGAUAAUACUACCUUCAGAGAACUCUACUUAUAGGUCUACCAGGAUUCUGACAGGUGCCCUCCAAGAAUGGUGGGUGUCUCGGCCUCUGGCUCCAUCCACUCCUGGACAUCUAGCUGGGUAGUGCUUUGCUUAAGCUCUGACCCUCCCGUCACACAUAGCCUGCAUCGGCCUGAUCAGCACCCAGAUGGGCUCACUCCAGCCACCGUAAAGGUGCAACAUUGCAAACAACCUGCCUCAGCCUCUCUACUGGGGUUCCUCCAACCACUUCCAUGAGAGACCUUGGACAGGAACCCAAAGCUUUUUGCAGGCACUGCCUAUCAGAUGUGGAAGAAAACAGCAAGGCAAGAAGAGGCAGUGACCCAGGAAAGGCCCACCAGCUCCAGAAGUUGCCUACUCCACAAUACGGAGAUUGCUCAUUUCUUUUAAGGACCAUUCAUUUGAAUUAUGCAAAUAAUUCAUUGAAAGUUGGGAAAUUUUAAAUUCCUAGUGGAAAUACACACACACAACUAUCUAGGAUACUAAUGUUCCUUUUUUGAGUUUUUUAAAGUUAGCUCUGGUUAAGAGCGAUUUCUAAACUUCUUGAAGGUUGGGCUGGUAGACUUCACAAAAUGAGGGCAAGACAUGGAGGGUGGAGAGAGAGAGAAAGAAUUAAAAAGUACAGGACACCCAGUUAAAUUUGAAUCUCAGACCAUGCUAUGCUCAUUAUUUUUUACUCCACAAUGCUUAAAAAACAGAUUUGUAUGUAGUAGUUUUCCCCAAAGUUAUUUGUUAAACUGAAUUGGACAUCA